rnacentral:RNase_P_RNA from 1 species
CGAGUCGAGCGGACGGCCGCGGCACCUUGGUGCUGAGGAAAGUCCGGGCUCCGAAGAGCAGGGUGGUGGGUAACGCCCACCCGGGGUGACCCGCGGGACAGUGCCACAGAGAACAGACCGCCUGCCGCAAGGCAGGUAAGGGUGAAACGGCGGUGCAAGAGACCACCAGCACCCCAGGUGACUGGGGUGGCUCGGUAAACCCCACCCGGAGCAAGACCACACAGGGAGCGUUCGAGGGCUGCUCGCCCGAGCUUCCGGGUAGGUCGCGUGAGGCCGCUGGCAACAGCGGUCCAAGAUAGAUGGUCGUCGGCGCCCUCGGGCGUCACAGAACCCGGCUUACAGCUCGACUCGUCCC